rnacentral:rRNA from 1 species
GGUGAGGAAGCACCGGCUAACUCCGUGCCAGCAGCCGCGGUAAUACGGAGGGUGCGAGCGUUGUCCGGAAUCACUGGGCGUAAAGGGCGCGUAGGCGGCGCGAGCAAUCGGCGGUGAAAGCCCGGGGCUCAACUCCGGGUCGGCCGUCGAUACUCUCGUGCUCGAGCACUGUAGAGGCAGGUGGAAUUCCGGGUGUAGCGGUGGAAUGCGUAGAGAUCCGGAAGAACACCGGUGGCGAAGGCGGCCUGCUGGGCAGUUGCUGACGCUGAUGCGCGACAGCGUGGGGAGCAAACAGGAUUAGAUACCCUGGUAGUCCACGCCGUAAACGAUGGGCACUAGGUGCUUGGGGGAGCGACCCUCUGAGUGCCGGCGCUAACGCAUUAAGUGCCCCGCCUGGGGAGUACGGCCGCAAGGCUGAAACUCAAAGGAAUUGACGGGGGCCCGCACAAGCGGUGGAGCAUGUGGUUUAAUUCGACGCAACGCGAAGAACCUUACCUAGGCUUGACAUGCUGGUGAAACUCUCCAGAAACGGAGGGCCUCCUUCGGGACACCAGCACAGGUGCUGCAUGGCU